UCGGCGUAAUGCGAUAAGCAGGUGCGGAACCGGAACCGCAAAAGUGAGCGGCACAUCAUAGAAGCACGAGUGACUGCGUGCGUUUUUUGUCAAAGGUGGCACGCGCACUGGAAGUGCCAGUUUAAAAACUGACGUUCCAACCGAAUGGCCAAGCAUUCGGGGCAAAAAUCUGCAGUGUGUUUUGGUAAACAAAUUUCGGAACAAAAGCAUUUGUAAGUCACUACAAAUGUUUUUGU
rnacentral:sRNA from 12 species